rfam:Salmo salar isolate Sally breed double haploid chromosome ssa13, whole genome shotgun sequence.
CCUAAUCGCACCUGUAAGUCGCUUUGGAUAAGAGUGUCUGCUAAAUGACUAAAA